rnacentral:rRNA from 1 species
AGCUCCAUUGGCGUAUAUUAAAGUUGUUGCGGUUAAAAAGCUCGUAGUUGGAUCUGUGUAUCGGACGGUCGGUUCGCCGCUCGCGGCGUUUAACUGACCGGUCCGGGCGUCCUGCCGGUGGGCCCCGGUUCGCGCCGGGGCCCGUAACUCCCUCCGCGCUGCUCUUAACCGAGUGGUUCGGUGGGCCGGCACGUUUACUUUGAACAAAUUUGAGUGCUCAAAGCAGGCCUUAUGUUGCCUGAAAACUGUGUGCAUGGAAUAAUGGAAUAGGGCCUCGGUUCUAUUUUGUUGGCUUUUCUGAACCCGAGGUAAUGAUUAAUAGGGACAGACGGGGGCAUUCGUAUUGCGACGUUAGAGGUGAAAUUCUUGGAUCGUCGCAAGACGGACCGAUGCGAAAGCGUUUGCCAAGAAUGUUUUCGCUAAUCAAGAACGAAAGUUAGAGGUUCGAAGGCGAUCAGAUACCGCCCUAGUUCUAACCAUAAACGAUGCCAGCCAGCGAUGCGCCGAAGUUCCUCCGAUGACUCGGCGCGCAGCUUCCGGGAAACCAAAGCUUUUGGGUUCCGGGGGAAGUA